GAGGACCAAAACGCGCGGAUCUAUCCACAUAUGGGUCGGGUCAUCGGGUUAUGGCACCUGAACGGUACCGUUUUGGCCAUUAUAAUGCUAUGUUGAAACGGCACCGUUUCAAUGGGGUUAUAAAUACUUAAGAAAAUAAAAGAAAAUUUCAUUUUUUGACCUUCCUUAAAAAAAAAAAAACAAGAAAACCCUCUGAAAAGAGAGGAAUCGGUCCUCUGAGCGCCGAUCUAUAGCUGGCCGGACUCCGAUCAUCGGACCGUCGUGCUCCGCCGUACCCACCGCCGUGUACGGUGGCCGACGCACACGAAAAAAGGCUCCUUUUUCCUUUUUAAACCCCCGAACCCGAAUAUGCCUUCAAAACCAACGACGAAGCCUCCUAAAAUGUGAUAUGAACCCUAGACGAUUCGGAUUCCGACUCUGAUUUACCCCAAACAGAAGGAAGUCAACGAGCGGGGGCUUCCCUUUUGGUGCAAGGGCUGUGCAGAGCCAUCCUCGAGCGUUGAGCUCGCUACGGAAGCACGUGGGGAGGCAGAGGGAGGUGCGGCGCUUAGGGUUGUCUAGGGUUUCGGCUUAGCCGAAACUAGUUUGGGCCUUGGGCAUAUUGGGCCAAUAAGGACUGGUUUGGUUUAGUGUUUUGGACCAGAGGGUCGUAGGUAUAGGUAUGGGAUGUUUGGGUUUGGUUCAAUUUGGGUAUGUAAUUGGGUUAAUGUGUAAAUGGACUUUUAUUUUGGACUUUUAAUAAGCUUUGGGUUUUAAUACAUCUUUGAUUUAUCUGUUUUUUUGUUUGAAA